rnacentral:lncRNA from 1 species
GACUAACGCGAGUCAGCGAUGUUGUUGGCGAGCUCCAUCCCGAGGAUGCCCAGCUCGAUCCCGCUGCUCGUCGCCGACGACCCCGCCUCCCCGGGCGAGCGCCGCCGCAGCACGCCCUUCAUGAUCGGUACGCUCGCCUCCAAGACGCUGCCGUCUUGAUAGGCCUCCUCCCAGCUCUGGACAGCGACCUUCUUCAGCACGCCACGUGCAGGUACCCUUCCGCGCCGUUGUAGCGCCACCGGUACGCCCACAGCUUCCUGCUCGACGAGAAGGUCCUCGCCUUCUCGCCGCAGACGACGCAGCGGAGCCUCGCCUCCCCGCAGAGCUGGACGUGGUGCC